AGUGACAGUUGGAAGAAGGAAGCAGGGAGAAAGACAGUUUGAAGUGUGCUCUUGCUUCAUGAGCUGCUGAAAGGAAUUUAUCCACAUGGACAAAGAAUUUUUGGAAAAACAUUAAUCACCAGUAGAAUUUCAAACAGAAAGAGUAUUACUUUUGCAAACGCCUUGCUUAAAAGUAGCAGGCAUAUGCUUUAAUGAUUGACAGGGAGCUAUUCCUUAAGAAGUCUACCAAGCAUUGCAAGAAAGAAAAAUUCUGUGCAUGCAUUCCUACAGCAUCAGGUACUUCUAUUAAAAGUAAGUUAGAGAAUUUAAGUUUUGUUAAUUUUGUGCAAUUUCAUUUUUAUAUUUGAGAUUGAAAGAAUAUUUGAAUAGAAGAAAAACUUGAAUCAAGAGAUUUUCCCACAAGACCUUUAAUGUUUAAAAUUCUGAUUUUUGAAUCCUAGUUUCUUUAAUUAUGCAUAAACUAAUGUUGCCACAAUUUUUUAUCUGAGAAGCGCCUCAUAUUUAACAUCUAUCUAGAAGGCGUAUAGCCCACCUGUUAUUGGAAAUAGCUGUACACACUGAAUGUGGCUGAUAGAACCAGAUGAGAGGUUUCCAGCACCUGGACCUCCUCUUCUGGGACCUCCGAGGAACAAAGGGAAGGAGGGACAGAGGGAGGGAGGGCCUAAGCAAGCCCCAGGCCUCAAAACAGCCUCCGUGUGUGUUGACACGGAUGUGAUGCGCCUCUAUUGGCCCCUGCUGAAGAAGAGCCAGAACUUUGCUGUCUACGGGUACAGGACCUAUGCCAUCAGAAGAAUAAAAGAUGCUUUCAGAGAAAACAAAAACAUCAAUGAUUCAACAGAAAUUGAAACACUACUAAACAAAGCAAAAACUAAUCUGAAAAUCAUAUGCCGGCAGCUAGAUAUUCUUACCCUGCUCUGUAAGACUGUCUGGAGAUUUGGAGUUCUACAUUAGCAAUGGCACAGCUCUGUAGUUCAUUAACUAAAAGUUGGGAACUUUUGACUCUGUGUUCAGUCAAAAUAUAGAAAAUAGCCUGAGUUUACUGAGGCUGAAUGCACCGAAGCGGAAUCCAAGCAAGAUGGAACUGGUAUUACAAUGAGAGGAACA